rnacentral:rRNA from 1 species
UACGAAGGGUGCAAGCGUUAAUCGGAAUUACUGGGCGUAAAGGGUGCGUAGGCGGUUCGUUAAGUCUGUUGUGAAAUCCCCGGGCUCAACCUGGGAAUGGCAAUGGAUACUGGCGGGCUAGAGUGUGUCAGAGGAAGGUGGAAUUCCCGGUGUAGCGGUGAAAUGCGUAGAGAUCGGGAGGAACAUCAGUGGCGAAGGCGGCCAUCUGGGACAACACUGACGCUGAAGCACGAAAGCGUGGGGAGCAAACAGG